rnacentral:misc_RNA from 1 species
UCGUAACAAGGUUUCCGUAGGUGAACCUGCGGAAGGAUCAUUACAUUUAGGCCUGCGCAGCGAUGCGCGGGUUUUUCUACACCAUUGGUUACUUAGCUAAUUUGUUUUGGAGGUAAAACUCCAAAAGUUAAACAAAAAUAAUUUUUUUAAAACACACGUCACCACAACUACUAAAUAUCAAAACUUUCAACAACGGAUCUCUUGGUUCUCGCAACGAUGAAGAACGCAGCGAAUUGCGAUACGUAUUGUGAAUUGCAGAUUUUCGUGAAUCAUCGAAUCUUUGAACGCACAUUGCGCCCUGUGGUAUUCCACAGGGCAUGCCUGUUUGAGCGUCAUUUCCCUCUUAAACUGCAAGGUUUAGUGUUGGGCCAGGCUGCGGCCGGCCUGAAAUAGCGAGGGGUGUGUAUAUAUAUCUCUGAGAUAAUGUCUAGGUUCUGCCAACUCAUUACGAAGAGAGACAAUACGUCUGAGCACCUUUUACUAAAUUACCAAAAUUGACCUCAAAUCAGGUAGGACUACCCGCUGAACUUAAGCA